UGGUGAUAAUGAUGAUUCUAGUGAGGAAGAUAGAUGAUCUUCGAGAGACCAAUACCAAAACUCGGUCGAGAGCUCUCCUGGUGAAGUCUAAACCGGUCACAGUGAUGAAAAUAGAGAAAAUCUUUACAAGGAUUGUACAGGAAAUCCAGGUUUCAAUUUCCGGAGCAAGCGAUUUAUUCAACAAUUAUGCGAUUACGGAAGAAAGACUUACAAGGAUUUCUCAACAUGGUGCAAGUAAAUCCAGUCAGGCAUGAUCUUCAUAGGACGGCUCAAAUGAUGCAGUUAGACGUAGAUCCUCAUAAGGCAGGUAGUAUUGUCGGUUAUCGAAUCGUCUUUGUAAUCUUUCUCAUAAUUGUAAUAUCUAAAUAAAUCCCCGACAAAAAAAAAACUACUUUCAGUUAACUUGCCUUUUACUUGCAAGUCAAGGCUCUUUUACCCCCACUCUCAACUUUCUUGAUUAACAAAUUAGGUUUCUAAGGUUUUUACCCUAAUUUCAACUUUCUAGGCUUACAACUUCAAGAAGUAAUGCGAAGAACAACAGGGUGGUGAUUGUGGCUCUGACCCUAUAGUAAAAGAGAGUUUUUAGAUAUAUUACAUCAUAACAUAGAUCAUGGGAGUGUUGAUAGAUCGAUUCAUGGAACUAGACAUUCAUGAUUCCAUCAAAGUCUAUGAAAUCUUCGGUAAAGUUUCUAAACAGUUGGAUAAGUUAGAUCCAUUUUACGGGUGGUUAUUAGUGUAUAUAGCUGGUUUAGGUUGGUUUAGUAUAGAAUCAUACCGAUGGUUAAGUCUCAUUUAGCUUAAACCAUUGUAUAUAAAUUGAACCCAAUGUACAUUUUACAGGAUUAAGAAAUCAUAUUCACAUUAAUCAAUAUGGUAUCAGAGCCAUCAACGGCUUCUCCUUCUUCGAUUAAAGAUUCUUGAGCUCUUUUCAUGGUGUAUCGUCUCUAUUGAUGUCGCUUAGCUUCCAAAAUUUUCGAAUCUUAGCUGAUUUCUUCGAUCUUCUCGCUUCCAUCAUCAAUUUCACUUUCUGAUUCGUCAUUUUCCUCGUUUCCUUCCUCUGAUUCUCUCUGAUUCUUGGUUAUAUCACGCUUCACACUUUUCUUGGGCUCCGUUCUCUUCUUCGAUGGCGUCUUCGCAAUCGAUUCCAGGAUUUCAAGAUCAUUAUGAGAAUCCAUACUUCCUCCAUAGCCACGAUCAUGCUGGUUUGGUCCUCGUCUCCGAUCGUCUUUCUUCUGGUGCAGAGUUUCAUUCAUGGAGUCACUUAGUUCGAAUGGCUUUGAAUGUGCGCAACAAGCUCGGAUUUAUUGACAGUAUGAUUCCUAAACUGCCUGAGACUCAUCGUGAUGAUGGAUCUUGGUCAAGAUGCAAUGAUAUGGUUGCAACUUGGCUAAUGAACUCGAUUUCUAAAAAAAAUUGUUCCAAGUUUUUUGUUUAAGUCCACUAUUGAAUCGAUCUAGAAGAAUUUGCUAGCUCGUUUCAAGCAAGAUGAUGCUCCUAGGGUGUAUGAGAUUGAGCAACACCUAGGUAGUAUACAACAAGGAUCGAUGGAUGUAACAACAUACUACACUGAGUUGAUUACGAUAUGGAAGGAGUACAAGAACUAUGUGGAGAUCCCAGUCUGCACUUGUGGUAAAUGCGAGUGUAAUGCUGCUCAAUCUUGGAGUCUCUGCAGAAACGAAGUCGAGUUACAAAGUUAAUAAUAGGACUUAAUGAGUCUUUUGAGUACAUCUGGCGACAGAUCUUAAUGUUGAAACCUCUCCCGAAUAUUGAAGAUGUGUUUAAUCUCAUUACUCAAGAUGAGAGACAGAGAGUUGUGAAGCCAUCUUUGAAGGUUGAUAAUGUGAUCUUUCAGGCUUAUGGACUAUAUGUUCCUUCUACUUUCACUGGAUAUAUUGAUAAUCCGGUUCUUUCUGCUCAGUAGCAGAACAACUAUCAUUAGAAGCAACACCAUGUGUGUACCUACUGUGGCCAGUUUGGACAUAUUGCUCAAAAAUGUUUCAAACUUCACGGCUACCCUCCAGGACACCGGCUUCAUGAUAAUUCUGUUUUGCAAUAGGGCUCAGGUCAGGUGUCGACUACACAGAACAGUCAUUACAGUAAUCAAUGUUCCAUGCAGUCUCAGCCGCAACAGCCAUAUAUGAAAAACAAUACGAUAGCUAAUGUUGUCAGCUCCAAUUCAUGAUCGGUUCUAGUUAACCUUGAUCUUAGUAUCAUAAACGUGGAUCAAGUUAAUAAUCUCAUUCAAACUUCAAUGUCAAGUUCAUCCUUCUGCGUUUGUUAUUCAUGUUCAUUGUGCUUCUAUAACUGAUGCUGGUUACAUGUAUCCUCAAUCCUCAACUGGUAUAAUACAUUGUCUUUCUACAAACUUAAGUUAUGAACACCAAACUUUAACAUUUCAUCACCAAUGCCUUUCCAUGUUAUACAACUUUCUUCCUAGUGGUUCUUGGAUUCUUGACAAUGGAGCCACUACCCAUGUGUGUUCUGACUUGACAUGGUUUAGUGUUCUCUCUAUAGUGGUUGGUGUAAUAAUCUCACUACCAAAUGGCGUUAGGGAAAUCAUUAGUCAUAUAAGAACUAUUCAUCUAUGUCAUACGAUUGUUUUACAUAAUGUGUUGCAUGUUCCUUCAUUUCAGUUUAAUCUCAUUAGCAUCAAUACUUUGAUUAAAGACACAAAAUGUUCUGCUCACUUUUAUCCUGAAUGUUGCUUGCUUGAAGAGUCUAUUAAGGGCUUGAUGAUUGGUAGAGGAACUCUUACGUGCAAUCUCUAUAUUCUUGAUACAGUCGUUGAUCUUGCUACCAUCAAUCUUUGUGGAACCUUGCAAGGGGAUGGACAUCUUUGGCAUCAACGCCUUGGACAUCCAUCAUUGAACAAGUUACAACAUAUUCCUGGUAUUUCAUCUGUGUCUAAGUCUAGUUCUACUUCUAUAGUUUAAUGUCUUGUUUGUCUAUUAGCGAAACAAAAGAGGUUACCAUAUGUGUCUCAUAAUCAUCUUUCGGACAACCCAUUUGAUAUUGUUCAUCUUGAUAUAUGGGGUCCAUUUUUAAUAGAGUCAAUUGAGGGUUAUAAAUAUUUUUUAACAGUUGUUGAUGAUUGUACCCGUGUGACAUGGAUAUAUCUUUUACGAAAUAAAAGUGAUGUUUCAACAGUAUUUCCAUUGUUUCUUACUCAUGUUAAAACUCAAUAUAACUUAUCUAUUAAGUGUAUCCGAUUUGACAGCGCUCCUGAAUUAGCAUUUUCUCAUAUGAUUGAAGAACAUAGCAUAGUUCACCAAUUUUCUUAUGCUUAUACUCCACAACAUAAUUUUGUUGUGGAACGCAAACAUCAACAUUUGAUCAAUGUUGCUAGAGCUCUUAUGUUUCAGUCAAAUAUCCAUAUCUCAUAUUGGUCUGAUUGUGUAUAUGCUGUUGUGUUUCUCAUAAACAGAACACCAUUUUACUUCUAAAGAACAAAUCUCCCUAUGAACUGCUCAUAAACAAAGCUCAUGUUUACUCUUUUCUUCGAACAUUUGAUUGUUUGUGAUAUGUGUCUACUCUUGAUAAGGAUAUGAACAAAUUUACUCGUGUUGAAUCUUGUGUUUUCAUUGGUUUUCCAUCGGGUGUAAAAGGGUAUAAAGUCUUGAGUAUAGAAACUAAUAUCAUCUCGGUUACUCGAAAUCCUAUUUUUCAUGAACAUGUUUUCCCUUUUAAAGAUUUACAUCAUUCGCAUUCACCUGAUGUCAUGUUUCCUAGUACUAUAUUGCCUACAUCUACACAUGUAUCUCUUGAUUCAUUUAGUGAGGUUCAUAUUCAUGCAUCUUUUGCUCAUGUUCAUGAUAGUUCAUCACAUGCAUCGUCUUAUAAUGCCACCACGAAUAAGACUGUUGCACGAACUACAUAACAUGCUCGCUUACUCUGUGCCCGGCCACAACGCACAUCUAAGGUUCCAUGUUAUCUCUCUGACUAUCACUGUUCUUUUAUUCAUAAAACAGAACCUCUUACUUCCACUUAUACUCCUUUAUAUCCCUUAUCCUCUAUUGAUACUUGUUCCAACCGUCAACCUCUUUUUCAAUCCUAUAUUUUAUCAUAUUCCCUUGAAAGAGAACCUAAAACUUUCAAAGAGGCCAUGGCAUCACCUCAGUUUAGGAAAAUGAUGGCAGAUGAGUUGCAUGUAAUGGAGGAUAAUGAGACCUUCACAGUUGUUUCCUUACCACCUAGAAAGAACAUUAUGGGCUGUAAGUGGAUUCACACGAUUACAUAUCUUGCUGAUGGUACGGUGGAACGUCCAAAGUCACGCCUCGAUUCUAAAGGUUUCACACAAUAAGAAGAAGUUGAUUUCACUGACACCUUCUCUCAUGUUGCUAAGCUUGCUAGUGUUAAAAUAUUACUUGCUUUAGUUGUGAUAAAAGGUUGGUCUCUUUCUCAGAUGGACGUAUCCAAUGCGUUUUUUCAUAGUGAGCUGGAUGAAGAAAUACACAUGACACUUCCUCAAGGAUACACUUCAGCUUCAUGUGUUAUUCUUUCUAAUCAUGUAUGGCGCUUGCACAAGUCAAUUUAUGGAGUCAAGCCUCCCGUCAGUGGUACCAUUGCUUGUCUGAUGAGUAGAUACAAUUUGGUUUCUCACAAUCUCCUUUGGAUAACAACCUCUUUGUGAAGAAGACUGGUUCAACCUUCACUGCAAUCCUCAUCUAUGUCGAUGAUAUAAUGAUUGUGAGUAAUUGCAAUGCAGAAGUUCUAUCUCUCAAAGCAGCUCUGCAUUCAAGCUUCAAUAUCAAUGAUUUGGGUGAAUUGAGAUUCUUCUUUGGCCUUGAAAUAGCUCGCUCUGCUGCUGUCAUCUCUGUAUCUCAAUGUCAGUAUGCAUUGAAUCUUCUUGAAGAUGCAUGACGUCUUGCUUGUAAAUCAAGUUUAGUGCCAAUGGAUCCGAUUGUUAAGCUUCGUCGUGAUUCUGGUACUCUACUUGAUGAUCCCAGCCCUUAUCGUACACUCAUUGGUCGUCCGCUUUAUCUUACGAUCACACGUCCUGACAUUACCUAUGCAGUGCAUGCUCGGAGCCAAUUCAUGCCAGCACCAACGGAUAUUCAUUUGCAAGCUGCUUAUCGAGUGUUGAAGUAUAUUAAGAACAAUCCAGGCCAGGGAUUGUUCUACUCUGCAAAGUCUGAAGUGUGCCUCAAUGCGUUUGCUGACUCUGAUUGGGCUACUUGUCGAGACAAUCGACGCUCGAUUACAUGAUAUUGUGUUUACCUUGGGAACUUGCUGAUUACCUGGAAGUCCAAGAAACAAGAUGUGGUCAGUAGAAGCAGCACUAAGGCUGAAUAUAUGAGCAUGGCACAAGCGACUCGUGAGCUUCUCUGGCUUCAACAACUUUUCACAUGUCUUCAUCUCAAAGUCUCCACUGGUGCAAAACUGUUUUGUGACAACAAAUCAUCUAUGUAUAUUGCUACAAACCCUGUCUUCCAUGAGAGGACAAAACAUGUAGAGAUUGAUUGUCAUAAAGUUAGAGAUCAAGUGAAGAAUGGAUUCUUGAAGCUGAUGCAUGUUGCGAGUGCUAAUUAACAUGUUGAUAUACUGACGAAACCGCUACAUCUCGGACCUUUCAACUCUAUCCUUGGUCGCAUGUCAACUUCAAGUCUUUUUACUCCACAAACAUGCUUCAUUUCAAAGACUUGAGAGGGGGGGGGAGUGUAUUAGUGUAUAUAGCCGGUUUAGGUUGGUUUAUUAGAGAAUUAUACCAAUGGUCAAGUCUCAUUUAGCUUAAACCAUUGUAUAUAUAUUAAAUCCAAUGUACAUUUUACAGAAUUAAGAAUUCAUAUUCACAUUAAUCAAUACUGGUGUAAGAAAUUGGGAGUUUCAAGAUUUUUAGAGUAUCUAGAAUUAGAGAAGGUCACAAGGAAGAAACUUGAUCUCAUGGAUGGGUUUAUAAGAGAAAAACCUGCUUUAGCUGCACAAACACAAAGGUCAUCAUCAAAAAAGUCUUACAAAUAUAAGGAGGAAGAGGAGGAGGAGACAGAAACAGAGGAGAUCAACGAUAGUCGAGAAGAUUUAAACUGAGACAAAUAAAAAAUUUCAAGAAGUGGUGACUAAACAAGAUCAAGAAGGCGAUUUGCUGGAUGAAGCGGGUGAAACGGUAGGAACGGUUGCCGGUAAUAGCUUGGUGUUAGCGUUGUUUGAUAGAGCGGUUGAAACUGAAACUGCGUCUGAACAACCGGGGUGGGAAGCGUUUGAUGAUGAUCGGCGGAUUGAGAGACGGUUGUGGUGAAAUCGGCUACGAGAUUGUCGGGACAAAAGAGUGAGCUUGGAGGAGGAUUUGAUCCUUUUUUGCUUGAUGGAAUGUAUCAGCACGGUGCGGUUAAAUCGUCUACGGCUUAUGGAGGUAGUGGAAAUGCGAGUAGCGUUGCAUGUGGUUCUGUAGAAAGACCACCGGGUAAAAAAAUUAAAUAAAAAUAUUUAAAUUCUGUUUUAGGAGAUAAAAUUAGUUUUUAUUUAAAUUGAAUUUCACUAAACAUUAUCCGAUUCCGAUUUUUAAUGUUUGAAGUCGUCUAAAAAUCUAUUUUUUCUAACUAAUAAAAUUUAUCAAGAAACUCAAAUAUAAGAAUAUUCAAAAAUCUAAUUAUGGUUGAAAUAUGUAAACUACCAAAAAUUAUUCAAAAUAACAGAAAAUAGAAAAUAGAAAAAUCUCUAAACUACUCUAAACCUUAACAUAUGUAAGAAAGUUAAUAGAUUUAACUAAUUUUAGAUAUUUUUGUAUUAUGUUAUACAUGAAUCCAAAAUACCUAUUUCGUUGGUUUUUCUAUAACGGUUUUGAUCAAAUUUCAGUAUUUUGGUUUGGGUUCAGUUUGGAUUUUAGGUUUGGUUAAAAACGCCUAGACCUAACACUUACAAUAUAUUUUCGAUUAAGUUUGGUUAAUCCGAAUUAUAAUCUGUUGUUGUUGCAAUAUGGUUAUGUGGCCUUAAUCUUAGCACUACCGGCGCCGACACCAACGGAGACAAAACCGGAAGAAUAAGUCCGUGGACCCAUUUGCGGCGUCACUAGAGGUGGCUCCACCACCGUACAUGCAAGUGCAAAUGAACGAUAUGGAGAAUAAACAGGGAUUAUUGAUGGAAGAACAAAUAAUGGGAUCAAUACAACAUAAAUGGAAGAAAAUGUCACAUGAACUUCAUGCAAACCCAACAACAACAUUUUCAAGUCCAAUACUCCAUGGGACAUUGCUCUUACACACCUCGCUACUGUAACAUAAAAUAAAAAGGCCAUUGAAGAUGAGGAGCUUUCUCUUGUCUGAGGUAAAUUGUAACUCGUCAAGAUAUGCCAACAAGGUGUUAAUGAUAUCGCCUAGCUUUUACCUAGCUAUAUUAAAAGUUCGAGUGGUGAGUUUGUAUCUAUUAAUUACCCUAAUUUACUAUAAUAUUCGAGCUAUUUAAUUAGCCCUUUUUACUGUAUAUAUAUAGUUCAUAUAGUAAUUUAAGACUAAGAUAUAUUACAUGAAUAUCUGAUCAUUACAUGCUACAAUUAUCUGACUCCAGAAAUGGACAGUCAAUAACCUUUGGUUGGAUAAAGAAUCCGAGGUCGUGGACAAGGAUAAAUUUUCAGAAUGGGAUAUAUAUUUGAGUUCAGUUUCAAAAAAAAAGAUAUAUAUUUGAGUAGUGCAAAUGGUUUGUAUUAUGAGGAUAAGGAGUGCAUGCAUGUCACUAUGUAAAAGAUCAUGAACAGCCAACCCAAAGAACAGUCUAGAGCUAUGGUCCUAUGGAUUUAUACGUGUGUUGAGAUAUAUAUAAGCCCAAAGCUCCAAAGCAAAGGAAAGGGAAUCGUGUAUAAGCAUUAUGAAUUAUUUGUACCUAGUAUUAAUUUUACAUCACCUACAAAUUUCAAUCACAAGCAAUGGAAAAGAAGUUGGUAUAUAAUGGGGACUAUAAGAGCUCGUAAAAACAAUAAGGAACUUAUAUUUUUUUUUGGUGUAAAUGUUAAGAUAAAGGAAAUUAUAUUGAUCCUAUUAACAAUGUUCUUUAAUGUUUCUUUUGACUUUUAGUGGUCGCAUUUUCUCUUUAUUUUUUGGCUUAAAGUGUUCGCAACUUCGCAUGUUCAUGCAUGCGUGUCCUCGUCUACAAACACUUUGACCUUCAUUUUUAAUCUCUUUAAAUCUUUUCCACGUUAUAUUAUUCCUCGUAGUUUUCUGCAUCUUUUUAAAUUGAUUCCUUAUCACCCUCCUCUUUAUGUGUUUCUGGUUCCUUUUGAUUUUAUAUUCCUUUUUUACUAGUUUUUUAAAAUAAAUUUCUGUUUUCAUACCAAUUUUCUUUUUUUUGAAUUUACAUGUUAAUAUUACAUGUUAAUAUAUUACAAGAUUUUGUAUAUUUUUUUCAUAGGAAUAACCUUUCAGUGAUGUGUGAUUAUCCGUCGUUAUUAAAUAGAGAAUAUAGUUUCGUCGAUUUGGUUCACUAUCUGAUUAGUAAACUAGCGACCAUCAUCGCAGUAUGCUAUACAUACAAUACUCUUGUGUUGCUUAUGUUUUUUUUUUCUUUCUGAACUAUUGCUUUGAGUUUCAUUUGCUAAAGUUAUCUUUGUAAGAUAAAUGACCAUCAAUAAAUAAGAUACGACUUAUUAAUUAGUGUGAUUACGAUAGAAAUCCGUUAACAGUGAUCAGAAAAACAUAUGCGCUUAUUUGUGUACUACCACUAACCAUAAAAAAGGGGAAAUUGGUUUUCUAGAGAGAAGGAAGAGAGAGAUAGGAAGAGAGAAUUGGAGAGAAAUUGUGUUUUUGGUUAUUUAACAAAUUUGGGUUUUUUUGUAGUUAUAGGGGCAAAUUUCCCAAAACAUAUUUUGUGGUAUAUUGCAAAACAUAUAAUAUGCUGUCUAUCACUAUGUUAUAUAUAUCUUCAAUAAUUGCAUAUAAUAUGAUGUCUAUCGCAAUCAAAGAAACUAGCUUUGAGAUGACACAUUCGUCAAUCCCUAGAGGUGCAGUUUGUGGGUCCGCCACUGAUCCUAUUAUUUUUGAUGUUGUGAUCUCGCUAUACAUAUUUCCUUUUUUAACUCAAAGAUGUAAUUUGUAUGUAAAACUUAAUUAAAAGGACACUAAUUCUUUUAACCGACGUUUUUAUUUUUAGAAAGGGAAUUCUUUAUUUUGACAAGAAAAUCUAACGUUAAAAUUGAGGAAUUUGUAAGCUGUAACAAUUAGAAAAUUAAAAGAAAUAAACAAACCCUAGAAAAGUAACCAGAAAGAAAUGCUCAUAUGCUCUUUGUCUUUGUGUUUAUGUUCCCGAUGGUAAUUAAUUUCAUUAAAGAGCAACAAAACAAUGGAAGUAGGUUCCAGUGUAACCC